rnacentral:rRNA from 1 species
GACGAACGCUGGCGGCGUGCUUAACACAUGCAAGUGGUGCGACGAACCAGACUUCGGUCUGGGGCAAAGCCGCGAACGGGUGAGUAACACGUGAGUAAUCUGCCCCGAUGACCGGGACAACCCGAGGAAACUCGGGCUAAUACCGGAUGAUGAGCCUUGGCGUAAGCCUUGUCUCUAAAGGAAGCUUCGGCCUCCGCAUCGGGAGGAGCUCGCGGCCCAUUAGCUUGUUGGUGGGGUAACGGCCUACCAAGGCGACGAUGGGUAGCUGGUCUGAGAGGACGAUCAGCCACACUGGGACUGAGACACGGCCCAGACUCCUACGGGAGGCAGCAGUGGGGAAUCUUGCGCAAUGCGCGAAAGCGUGACGCAGCAACGCCGCGUGGGGGAAGACGGCCUUCGGGUUGUAAAGCUCUUUCAGCUGGGAAGAUAAUGACGGUACCAGCAGAAGAAGCCCCGGCUAACUCCGUGCCAGCCGCCGCCGUAACAC